rnacentral:rRNA from 1 species
GAUGAACGCUAGCUACAGGCCUAACACAUGCAAGUCGAGGGGUAACGAGAGGAAAGCUUGCUUUCCUUGUCGACGACCGGCGCACGGGUGCGUAACGCGUAUCCAACCUGCCCCCAACUAGGGAAUAACCUUGCGAAAGUAAGACUAAUACCCUAUAAUUUCCUCAGAUGUCAUCUGACGAGGAAUAAAGAUUUAUCGGUUGUGGAUGGGGAUGCGUCUGAUUAGCUUGUUGGCGGGGUAACGGCCCACCAAGGCAACGAUCAGUAGGGGUUCUGAGAGGAAGGUCCCCCACAUUGGAACUGAGACACGGUCCAAACUCCUACGGGAGGCAGCAGUGAGGAAUAUUGGUCAAUGGGCGGAAGCCUGAACCAGCCAAGUAGCGUGCAGGAUGACGGCCCUAUGGGUUGUAAACUGCUUUUAUACAGGAAUAAAGUUAGCCACGUGUGGUUAUUUGUAGGUACUGUAUGAAUAAGGACCGGCUAAUUCCGUGCCAGCAGCCGCAGUAA